rnacentral:lncRNA from 10 species
GCGAGGCCCGGGCAGCAUCGGCGGCGUGGUCAGAGCGAGUCUCGGAGAAGAUGUGGUGGCUUCCGUUUGUUGGUGGAGGAGGUGGCAGGCCUCGGCGCUUGGAAGCUGUCACUCCUGUCCUCACAACGACAACAAAAAACACCUUGAACAAACUGAAAAUUACAACUUUUCUUAGAUCCAUCAGAGACUUGAGGUUAACAGGGAAAACCGUUAUCCCCCAAAUUGGAGAGGCAGUGAGUCCCAGCCUAACAGGAUCGGAGGCUGGCCACUGGAGCCAGAACCACGGUGGGAAGACUUACAUGUAAACAACAAAUCGCUGGAGGCUCCAUGCACAUAAACUUGAGAAUUAAGAAUUAAGGGAGCCCAGUCUUAGGGGGCCCUACACUUUCAUGAACCUCCAAGAGCUCUGCCAGACGCUCUUAUGCACAUCAGAGAAAAAUUCCCUCCUGCUUCCCACAGGGAAGGGGAAAAGUAACUACUUUGAAAUAUGCCCUGGGUGUUCCGUUCUCCUUAGCAAAAGCCUGCCCCAGGGAAACCAUUUCACAAGAGUCUAACCACCUUGGGCUUUAGCAGGGCCUAACACCUGUUAGAAUAAGAAUAAAAAUUGCAUCAAACUUUUCUUCAGAACCCAUGCAAGCAAGCAAAAAAAUUCCACCAAACUAAAAUUCUGUAUCCUGCAAAAUUAUCUUUCCAAAGUGAAGAAAAAGACUUUCUCAGAGAAACACAAAUUUGCUGUCAGUAGAUCUGUCAAAAUGUUAAAAGAAGUUAUCCAGAGAGAAGAAAAUGAUAUAGGCUAAAAACUUGGAUCUACAUAAAGAAAAAAGGUUUUAGAGAAGGAAGAAAGGGGCUUCCUGCCUCCCUCCUCCAUGGGGCACUGGUGCUAUGCCCAGCACCCAGAUGCCCCUACCCAAUGCUGAAUAAGAACACAGAGCACCAUGAAUGGCUGGCUCUAAAAGGAAAAGUGGAAGACUUGUGUUCUCAACCCACAGCUGCUACUGCUACAUUUAAAGACACUGCAGUGAACAUUGUAAGUUCUCUGGCUCAUGGAGGGAGGAAUCUAUUCCAAAGACUCUGAGAAAAACUGUAAAUUAAACAAAAAUAUGGUGAAAGCUGGUUCCUGAGCUUUAUUGAUGUUAAUAAUGCACCUUAUUGGCCAGGCACAGUGGCUCAUGACUGUGAUCUCAGCACUUUGGGAGGCCAAUGUGGGAGGAUCACAAGGUCAGAAGAUCGAGUCCAGCCAGGCCAACAUGGUGAAACCCUGUCUCUACUAAAAAUACAAAAAUUAGCUGGGUGUGGUAGCACGUGCCUGUAAUCCCAGUGACUCAGGAAGCUGAGGCAGGAGAAUCGCUUGAACCCGGCAGGUGGAGGUUGCUGUGAGCUGAGAUGGCACCACUCCACUACAGCCUCGUGACAAAGGAAGACUACCUCUCAAAAAACAAAAAACAAAAACAAAAAAACAAAAAACUGGUCACCUUUUCACCAUAUACAAAAAUUAACUCAGGUUGGAUUAAAGAUUUAAAUUUAAGACCUCAAACUAAAAUAAACCUGGAAGAAAAACUUCAAAAGUACCAUUCUGGAUAUGGGCUAUGGGAAAUAAUUCAUGACUAAGACUUCAAAAGAAAUUGCAACAAAAGCAAAAGUUGACAAAUGGGACCUAAUUAAACUAAAGAGCUGCCACACAGCAAAGGAAACCAUCAGCAGAGUAAACAACCUACAGAAUGGGGGAAAUUAUUCACAAACUAUGCAUCCAACAAAGGUCUAAUAUUUAGAAUCUAUAAGGAACAUAAUUCAACAAGCAAAACACAACCCCAUUUAAAAAGGGGCAAAAGACAUAGACACUUCUCAGAAGGAGACAUACAUGCAGCCAACAAACAUGAAAAAAAUGCUCAUCAUCACUAAUCACGAGGGAAAUGCAAAUCAAAACCACAAUGAGAUAUUAUCUCACACCAGUCAGAAUGGCUAUUUUUAAAAAGUAAAAAAAAAAAAUAGCAGAUACUGGCGAGGAUAAGGAGAAAAGGGAAUGCUUAUACACCUUUGGUGGGAAUGUAAUUUAGUUCAGCCACUGUGGAAAGCAAUUUGGAGAUUUCUCAAAGAACAUAAAACCGAACUAACAUUCAACCCAGCAGUCUCAUUACCGAAUAUGUAUCCAAAAGAAAACAAAUCAUUCCACCAAAAAGACAUAUGCACUUGUAUGUUUAUUGCAACACUAUUCACAUUAGCAAAGACAUGGGAUCAACCUAGGUGCCCAUCAACAGUGGACUAUCAACAGUGGACUGGAUAAAAAUGUGGUACAUAUAGACCAUGGAAUACUAUGCAGCCACAAAAAAGAAUGAAAUUAUGUUCUUUGAGGGAAAAUGGCUACAGCUGGAAUCCAGGAAGUGAACUAAUGUAGUAACAGAAAACAAACGCCUCAUGUUCCUAUAAGUAGGAGCUAAAUUCUGAGUACCCAUGGAUAUGAAGAUGGUGAAAAUAGACACUAGGGACUGCUAGGAGGGGGAGGGAGGAAGGAAAAGGUUGAAAAACUGCUGAAUACCAUGUUCAGUACCUGGGUGUUGGGAUCAUUCACACCCCAAACCUCAGCACCACACAAUACACCCAGGUAAUAAACCUGCACAUGUAGACCCUGAAUCUAACAUAAAAGUUGAAAAAGAAAAAACAGAAUGGAAUCUCUGUUUAUUCUCAACAUAUCAGUUGUGCCUUUCCUCAAUUUGAAACUCUCACUAUUGGCUAUAUUUGGGGGUGCCCUAUUUCCCAUCUCAUAACUUAUUUUAAGAAACACAGCAUAAUAAUGUGUGGGUUUGGGAUUCAGUUUUUGAAAAAAAACACUGAGCCUUCAAUGAACUUCCGGUCCAUGUAAAAGCACACCUGUCUGCAUGGCAGCACUAGGACCUCACAAUGUGGAUUGUGCCUUCACCCAGGAAUGUUUAUGCCCUAUCGCCAUGGUGAUGGGAUUAGAAAUCUCCUGCCCUUGGUCAUAAGUGCCACUGUCUGGGCUGAGUUUUUCAAAGGUCAGAGCAGAUUGAAAUUUUGUGGGUUCAUUUUCCCUGAUUUUGAUUUUUCUUAAGGGGAACCUGUGUUCCUCCAAUCGAGGUAUGUUCAUACUGGCCUGUCAAAUGCGAUCUUUUCAAAUUAUUAGUUAAUACUUUCAAAAUUUGUUAUUUAAAAAAUUAUCCUCUGUAUUUUCCAUAUGCAGUUAUAAAUAUGUUUCAUGGUUAUGUUUUAUUCCUCAAUAUACAUAUUUGAUUAUUUUACCAAGCAGAGUACCUUUGAAAUUUUUCUUCAUUUAAAAAAUAUGGAUCUUGGCUCAGGCCUGUAAUCCCAGCAAUUUCGGAGGCCAAAGCAAGAGGAUCACAAGGUGAGGAGAUCAAGACCAUCCUGGCCAAUACAGUGAAGCCCUGUCUCUACUAAAACUACAAAAAAUUAGCCAGGCGUGGUGGCAGCUGGUGCAGUCCCAGUGUGGUGUAGUCCCAGCUACCUGGGAGGCUGAGGCAGGACAAUCGCUGGAACCCGUGAGGUAAAGUUUGCAGUGAGCCAACAUGGCGCCAUUGCACUCCAGCCUGUGAAACAGAACAAAACUCUGUCUAAAAAAAAAUUAUAUAUAUAUAAUAAAUGACAUAUGUAAUAUAUAAUAUAUAUCAUAUAUAAUAUGUCCUAAUAUAUGAUAUAUAUAAUAUAUAUGCUAU